rnacentral:rRNA from 1 species
GACGUAGGGUGCGAGCGUUGUCCGGAUUUAUUGGGCGUAAAGAGCUCGUAGGUGGUUUGUCGCGUUGUUCGUGAAAACUCACAGCUUAACUGUGGGCGUGCGGGCGAUACGGGCAGACUGGAGUACUGCAGGGGAGACUGGAAUUCCUGGUGUAGCGGUGGAAUGCGCAGAUAUCAGGAGGAACACCGGUGGCGAAGGCGGGUCUCUGGGCAGUAACUGACGCUGAGGAGCGAAAGCGUGGGGAGCGAACAGG